UACAGAGGUCUCGAGCGUUGUUCGGGUUCAUUGGGCGUAAAGGGUGCGUAGGUGGCGAGGCAAGUCGGAUGUGAAAUCCCGGAGCUCAACUCCGGAACUGCAUUCAAUACUGCUUUGCUCGAGUACUGGAGAGGAGAUUGGAAUUUACGGUGUAGCAGUGAAAUGCGUAGAUAUCGUAAGGAAGACCAGUGGCGAAGGCGAAUCUCUGGACAGUUACUGACACUGAGGCACGAAGGCCAGGGGAGCAAACGGG
rnacentral:rRNA from 1 species